rnacentral:rRNA from 1 species
GAUGAACGCUGGCGGCGUGCCUAAUACAUGCAAGUCGAACGAGUGGCGGACGGGUGAGUAAAGUAUGGGAAACUGCCCGAUGGAGGGGGCUAACUACUGGAAACGGUAGCUACUACCGCAUACCAUCGGAUGUGCCCAGAUUGGAUUAGCUAGUGGGUGGGGUAACGGCUCACCUAGGCGACGAUCCCUAGCAGGUCUGAGAGGAUGACCGGCCACACGGGAACUGAGACACGGUCCAGACUCCUACGGGAGGCAGCAGUGGGGAAUAUUGCACAAUGGGCGAAAGCCUGAUGCAGCCAUGCCGCGUGUAGGAAGAAGGCUUUCGGGUUGUAAAGUACUUUUAGCGGGGAGGCGUUACCCGCAGAAGAAGCACCGGCUAACUCCGUGCCAGCAGCCGCGGUAAUAC